AUUAAUUUUUAGGGUUUGGAAAUUUGGCUGCCAGGCUGUGCGCGUGAGGGGGUUGGGGAAGGGAGUGUCAGCAAGCGGCGGUGGCUUGGCUUCCGACCACUCUCGUCGGAGGCCGCCAAGCCACGGCCAUCUUGCUGUUUGGGGCUAGGGUUCAUCGCGAAGAAGAAGAAGAAGAAGCCGACGCAAAAGAAGCAGAAGAAGAAGACGACGCAGAGGAAGCAGAAGAAGAAGCAAGAUCGGACAUGGCGUCCGAGAAGACAAGACCGAACCGAGGGAAGGCAAAGGGGAUUCGAAGCCACGAACCAAGAUACCAUCAAUCUUGGCCAUGGCGCAACCCCACACAGAAUCAAAAUCACCGGAAUGACGGCACAGGGCUACUUUCUUACCUGCGAUUUCCGGCCACCCACAGCACUCAGAAGAAGAAGUCGAGCGAGAGAGAGAGAGAGGGCAGAAGAUAGCGCAAGAGAAAGAGCGAGAAGAGGGAGUCGGUUUUGCUGAAUAAAUCUUGCAAGAGGGGACGACGUUGCUGCCAUGGAAGAAAAGGUACGAGAUUCCCGAUUCGUGAAUGGGGGAUGAAAAGGUGGAAGGUUGAUCGACGCCUCGAAGGAAGGAAUCAGCGGCUGUGGAAGAGCCUAAGAGGAAGGGAGCUUGAAGCCCUAGGGCUCCCUUUGCACAUGGGCUCGGCUCCUCAGGCCUUCUCGAUGAUAAGGCCAGAAAUCGGGCCUUACACUCUCCUCCUAAGACUAUCUCGAGCAAGCCUCCUCAUUCAACUUCCUAUUAUAUUAUAAAUAGUUUAUUUUUUAUUUUAA